CUCAGUAUGGAACAACGUCUUCUUACAGUUGAGGCGCUGCGCCAGAUGCAGAAGAAUUAGUGUACGCUGCCUUCUCCAGUGUUAUUCCUGAAAGGGGACAGAGCUUGUCUUCUGGAAGUUGGAUAUAAUACUGUACAGCAGAGAGAACUGGGAGGACAUUGCCAUAUUGUUUGUGAGAUUACAUGGAAAAUGGAUACUCACAGGAUACUCGCAGUCAUGCUCAUCACCCAAAUAAUGGCGAUCAUGAGCGUAUCACUCUACCAAUCUAAGGCUCCAUCAACACCUUAUUCUGCAGAAAUUCCAUCGCUGAUGAGACUAAUUUCCCUCUCUGACAAA